UACGAAGGGGGCUAGCGUUGCUCGGAAUCACUGGGCGUAAAGGGUGCGUAGGCGGGUCUUUAAGUCAGGGGUGAAAUCCUGGAGCUCAACUCCAGAACUGCCUUUGAUACUGAGGAUCUUGAGUUCGGGAGAGGUGAGUGGAACUGCGAGUGUAGAGGUGAAGUUCGUAGAUAUUCGCAAGAACACCAGUGGCGAAGGCGGCUCACUGGCCCGAUACUGACGCUGAGGCACGAAAGCGUGGGAGCAAACAGG
rnacentral:rRNA from 1 species